GUGACGCUGGCGGCGUGCUUAACACAUGCAAGUCGAACGGUGAACCUUCUUCGGGAGGGGAUCAGUGGCGAACGGGUGAGUAACACGUGGGCAACCUGCCCUCAGCUCUGGGAUAACUCCAAGAAAUUGGGGCUAAUACCGGAUAUGACUGCUGACCGCAUGGUCUGGUGGUGGAAAGAUUCAUCGGCUGGGGAUGGGCCCGCGGCCUAUCAGCUUGUUGGUGGGGUAGUGGCCUACCAAGGCGACGACGGGUAGCCGGCCUGAGAGGGUGACCGGCCACACUGGGACUGAGACACGGCCCAGACUCCUACGGGAGGCAGCAGUGGGGAAUAUUGCGCAAUGGGCGAAAGCCUGACGCAGCGACGCCGCGUGGGGGAUGACGGCCUUCGGGUUGUAAACCUCUUUCAGCAGGGACGAAGCGAAAGUGACGGUACCUGCAGAAGAAGCACCGGCCAACUACGUGCCAGCAGCCGCGGUAAUACGUAGGGUGCAAGCGUUGUCCGGAAUUAUUGGGCGUAAAGAGCUCGUAGGCGGUUCGUCGCGUCGGCUGUGAAAUCCCGAGGCUCAACCUCGGGCCUGCAGUCGAUACGGGCGGACUUGAGUUCGGCAGGGGAGACUGGAAUUCCUGGUGUAGCGGUGAAAUGCGCAGAUAUCAGGAGGAACACCGGUGGCGAAGGCGGGUCUCUGGGCCGAAACUGACGCUGAGGAGCGAAAGCGUGGGGAGCGAACAGGAUUAGAUACCCUGGUAGUCCACGCCGUAAACGUUGGGCGCUAGGUGUGGGGCUCAUUCCACGAGUUCCGUGCCGCAGCUAACGCAUUAAGCGCCCCGCCUGGGGAGUACGGCCGCAAGGCUAAAACUCAAAGGAAUUGACGGGGGCCCGCACAAGCGGCGGAGCAUGUUGCUUAAUUCGAUGCAACGCGAAGAACCUUACCUAGGCUUGACAUGCACGGAAAUCCUCCAGAGAUGGUGGGUCCGUAAGGGCCGUGCACAGGUGGUGCAUGGUUGUCGUCAGCUCGUGUCGUGAGAUGUUGGGUUAAGUCCCGCAACGAGCGCAACCCUCGUUCCAUGUUGCCAGCACGUAAUGGUGGGGACUCAUGGGAGACUGCCGGGGUCAACUCGGAGGAAGGUGGGGAUGACGUCAAAUCAUCAUGCCCCUUAUGUCUAGGGCUGCAAACAUGCUACAAUGGCCGGUACAAAGGGCUGCGAUACCGCGAGGUGGAGCGAAUCCCAAAAAGCCGGUCUCAGUUCGGAUUGGGGUCUGCAACUCGACCCCAUGAAGUUGGAGUCGCUAGUAAUCGCAGAUCACAACGCUGCGGUGAUACGUUCCCGGCCUUGUAACACCGCCCGUCCGUCACGAAGUCGGUACGCCCGAAGCCGGUGGCCAACCCUUGUGGAGGAGCGUCAAGGCGGAUCGGGAUUGGACGAAUCUACAGGG
rnacentral:rRNA from 1 species